UACAGGGGGGGCAAGCGUUGUUCGGAAUUACUGGGCGUAAAGGGCCAGUAGGCGGCCAACUAAGUCACACGUGAAAUCCCCAGGCUUAACCUGGGAACUGCGUGUGAUACUGGAUGGCUUGAAUUCGGGAGAGGGAUGCAGAAUUCCAGGUGUAGCGGUGAAAUGCGUAGAUAUCUGGAGGAAUACCGGUGGCGAAGGCGGCAUCCUGGAUUCAAACUGACACUGAGGCGCGAAAGCGUGGGGAGCAAACGGG
rnacentral:rRNA from 1 species